rnacentral:piRNA from 1 species
UACAAUGCAGCCUGCAUGACACCCCUUAGU